rnacentral:rRNA from 1 species
CAAUAGCGUAUAUUAAAGUUGUUGCGGUUAAAAAGCUCGUAGUUGGAUUUCUGUUGAGGACGACCGGUCCGCACUAUGUGCGUGUAUCUGGUUCGGCCUUGGCAUCCUUCUGGGGAACGGUGCUGCGCUUGAUUGCGUGGUCCGGUAUUCAGAACUUUUACUUUGAGGAAAUUAGAGUGUUUACGGCAGGCAAUCGCCUUGAAUACAUUAGCAUGGAAUAAUACUAUAGGACCUUGGUUCUAUUUUGUUGGUUUCUAGAACUAAGGUAAUGAUUAAUAGGGAUAAUUGGGGGCAUUCGUAUUAACACGUCAGAGGUGAAAUUCUUGGAUUGUGUUACGACGAACUACUGCGAAAGCAUUUGCCAAGGAUGUUUUCAUUG